UUUGCCCAAUCAGAAAAAUGAUUCGUUCCCGUCUUAUCAAAUCAUCUGCCAUUUCUUCUGUGGGACGUUUUCAAAUUCCAAUAGAGGCCUUUUCACCGAACCUUUUGAGUUCCACAUUUCAGCCUCUCUAUUCUUUCUCCUCCAUUUCACCUUCAAUCUAGUUCUCUCGUCUUUUCUUUUUCCUUCAAAUUCUCAGCAUACUCAAGGACUCUUCCUAGCAGGUAAAUCUCGUCCUUCUUCUUUAAUGUCUCCGUUGCUAAUGUAUGUGCCAGGCUAUUCGCUGUUCUUGGAUGUGCUCAAAACAAUAUUUUUUAGAUUUAGCCAGUAGCUGAUGAAUAUCUUGGAUAUAACUUUUUAUCUUGCACUUCUUUAUAAUUGAUAAUGCAUCCCCUUCAAUGAUGAUAUUUGACCAUUGCCUGUAUAUACCAAUUUGAGUUGCUGUCCGGCAAGCAAUUGCUUCGGCAGCAAAAGCUAAUGCGACUUGGUGAUAGAUCUCUAUGAAUGAUAAGAGAACGUUUCCUUCACUAUCCCUAGCCACAAUCCCCAUAGCCGAUUGACACAGAUUCCCAUCAUAUGCUGCGUCAAAGUUAAUCUUCACAAACUGACCAGGUGGGUGUUUCCACUUUCUAACUCCUGUUAAAAUCUUUGGUACUUUUUCUUCAAUCCUAUUAAGUUCAGAAAUGUAUCUCUUAAUAAAACUUGCAAUCUCUUUCCCAUAUUUGUUGGCCUUCUCAUGAACUCUCUUGUUCCUUUCUCCCCUGAUUGCCCAAAGAGCACAACAAAAGAUCCUGCACCGAGAGGGGGUAUUCUGUUCAAAAACCCAGGUGAGCCACUGUAUAAAUUCCAUAUGAGAUACUUGUAAUAACUCCGAGAAUGAUAACUCUUUCCAUACUAAUAUUACAUCAGGACACUCACAGAAUAGAUGAUUCGUGGUUUCUACUGCUCUCCCACACCUAGAACAGAUUACGUUGUUUAAUAGCCUUUUGUGCUGCAAGUUAACCCAUGUUGGUAGAUAAUUCCAUGAUAUUCUCCAAACUGUAAUUUUUAACUUAGAAGGUUAGAUUAAGAAGCCAAAGAUUUCUGUAAAAUUUCCUAUACUCGUUUUGUAAAGCAUAAGCUCUAGGAUCAAUUUCAAUGCCUUGUAAUAGUUUAUAGGCACUUCGCACCGUGAAUUCUCCCGAAGACUCCCCCCUCCAGGUCAGAAAAUCAUUGUGAGGCUCUUUUGCUAACGAAUGCGGAGAAUCUUCUCAACUACCUCCACUGGAAAGUUAGAAUCUACCAACUCUUUUUUCCAUUUUUUGUUGAUAUCAUAAAUUAAUUCUGCAACUUUAAAGUCACGCAAAUUAUUAAUAUGAGAUGAUAAUCUGGAAUAAUUCAAAUCUAGUAUCCAACCAUCAUUAAUAAUUGAUAUUUCAGUACCCUUCCCCACUUUCCAGCAUAGUCCAUCUGUUAGAAUGCCUUUAGUUGCCCAUAUACUCUUCCAUGUGAAAGAACUAUUACUCCUUAGGCGCGAAUUUAAAAAAUUCGUUUCUGGAAAAUAUUUAGCUUUUAAUACUUGUGCAACUAACAAAUUAGGAUUAUUUAGGAUUCUUCAACCUUGUUUAGCUAAUAAGGAGACGUUAAAACUAGACAUAAUCCUAAAGCCCAUUCCUCCAUCUUCUUUGGAUCAACACAUACACUGCCAUUUACACCCAUGAAUUCCUCUUUUCCCCUGUGCCUUUUUCCACCAGAAAUUAGCGAAGAUCCUUUCCAGUUCUCCACAUAGGGAAUUAGGAAGAAGGAAAGAGGACAUGGCGUAGGUUGGAAUAGCCUGAAGUAUUGAUUUAAUGACUAUUUCCUUGCCUCCUUGUGAUAAUAAUUUGGUACUCCAACCUUUAAUUCUGGAAUUGACCUUAUCUUUUAGAUUUUGAAACGACUCCUUUUUACGUCUACCAACCACAUUAGGAAGACCUAAGUACUUUUCCAUAUAUGUUGACCCUUUUACCCCUAAGCUUGUUAAUACUUCACCUCUUUUUUCUAUUGAUGUAUUCGAAUUGAAAAAAUUGUAGAUUUAUCAAAAUUAACACACUGGCCAGAACAUUCUUCAUAUUCUUUUAGAAUUCUUUUUAGCAACCUUGCUCCCUUAUUUGUUGCUUCACCGUACAGUAUGCAAUCAUCUGCAAAAAGUAAAUGUGAAAUCCCUGGUCCUUUUCUACUUGCCUUUGUUCCUUUUAUCAGACCCUCUUUUAUUGCCAAUCUCAUUAAUGCUGAAAGUCCCUCACUACAUAAUAGAAAUAAAAAGGGGCUAAGGGGUCCCCUGACACAACCCUCUAGAAGAUUGAAAAAUCUGUCCCCUUCUUCCAUUAGUAUUGACUGCGUAAGUUGCUGUAGUAAUGCAUUUCAUAAUUAAAUCAACCUAUUCUUUUGCAAAACCCAUUCGCAACAUAACUUCCUUAAGAAAGUCCCACUCGACCCUAUCAUAGGCUCUGCUCAUGUCAAGUUUAAUUGCCAUAUAUCCUUUCUUUCCUAUGCAUUUUCGUUGAAACAUGUGUAGGAUCUCGUAAGCAGUAAAAUGUUAUCAGAAAUUAGCCUACCUGGGAUAAAAGCACUUUGCGUCACAUCAAUACAUCUUCCUAUAACCUCUUAAAGUCUAUUGGCAAUUGUCUUAGCCAUAAUUUUGUAGAGAACCGUACACAAACUUAUAGGUCUGAAUUUUGUUAAGUUUGUAGGGUUCUGGGUUUUUGGAAUCAGUACAAUAUUAGUUGAAUUGAG
rnacentral:lncRNA from 1 species